UACGUAGGAUGCAAGCGUUAUCCGGAAUUACUGGGCGUAAAGCGUCUGUCGCCGGAUGUGUAAGUCUGUCUUUAAAGAUCCCGAUUCAAUCGGGGAAAAGGGAUGGAUACUGCAUGUCUAGAGGAUUUUGGGGGUUAGUGGAAUUUCCGGUGGAGCGGUGAAAUGCGUUGAUAUCGGAAGGAAUGCCGAAAGCGAAAGCAGCUAACUACAAAAUAUCUGACGGUCAGAGACGACAGUUUGGGUAGCAAACGGG
rnacentral:rRNA from 1 species